rnacentral:rRNA from 1 species
UAGGGAAUCUUCCACAAUGGGCGCAAGCCUGAUGGAGCAACACCGCGUGAGUGAAGAAGGGUUUCGGCUCGUAAAACUCUGUUGUUGGAGAAGAACGUGCGUAAGAGUAACUGUUUACGCAGUGACGGUAUCCAACCAGAAAGUCACGGCUAACUACGUGCCAGCAGCCGCGGUAAUACGUAGGUGGCAAGCGUUAUCCGGAUUUAUUGGGCGUAAAGCGAGUGCAGGCGGUUGCUUAGGUCUGAUGUGAAAGCCUUCGGCUUAACCGAAGAAGUGCAUCGGAAACCGGGCGACUUGAGUGCAGAAGAGGACAGUGGAACUCCAUGUGUAGCGGUGGAAUGCGUAGAUAUAUGGAAGAACACCAGUGGCGAAGGCGGCUGUCUGGUCUGCAACUGACGCUGAGGCUCGAAAGCAUGGGUAGCGAACAGG